UAGGUAACAGAGAUCUGUUUGUAGAAAUUUUUCGUCCCAUUUUUAGCUUAUUAGUGCCACAAACAAGUUCAAGGACAGCUUGUGAAUAGUUUGUUUUUGUUAGCUUACAGGUGAGGCGUCCACAGACGCAGCAGGUUGCGUGGGCGGGCGCCGACGCGCGCUCAGUUAGAGGCAGGCAAGCAAGCCGCUCGCACGAAAUUGACGCCGCACAAGCGCUGAACGAACGACUUCAAAAUGGCCACUGGCCCGAGGAUAGUGCACAAACAGUUUAACUCGCCUAUCGGGCUCUACUCCCAGCAGAAUAUAAAGGAGACCCUCAGCAAACAUAUGCAGAACCUCGACAAUGGCACCGUCGGAAUCGAUUUCAACAAUCCCGCAACAGACAAGCCGGCUAACCUCGCCAACUCAGCUGUUCUGCGGAUGUUAGAGGAAGAGGAACGCAAUCGUAGGGGAUAUCCCAAGUUAGAUCCAAGCCAAGUGCAGGCGAUAUUGGACACCUUGGUUCACGCUGACCACCGAUUUGACAGCUACUGGCCGCCAGACCGUUCGAAGAUGAGAUCAGCUCGCAGUUGGGACGGCCAGCUCAACAUGACCGGCAAUAUUUAUUCAGAGUUCAUGAAGGCCACUAAAGGCCAGAAGAAAGUGGUGUGGCCACCAGUGCCCGAAACGAACGGCUAUCAUCAGCCACAACAGCAGAGUCCUGCGUACUACAACAACGCGCAGCAUUCACCCUCCGUGCAACAACAGCCGCAAUACCAGCAACCCCAAUAUUCACCCCAAUCCCAAACACAAUACCAAAACCAAUCCCAGUACCAACCACAACCCCAGUACGAAUCCCAAAACCAGUCUCAACCUCAAUACCAAUCGCCACAAUCUCAGUACCAACCGGCAUACUGUGAGGGCAAACGACAGGCCGCUACAGGACUGAGUAAACUAAUCCCAGUCGGGCCGGGUGUUACCGCAGCCCCAGUAUCCCCAUCUAACUACCGCCAAGGGCCGUUGUCUCCAAGCGCCGCGCAACCCUACCGCCAGCCAACCAACCGCUGGGGCCCUGUACCAGCUCCUCUUUCUCCUCAGACGCAAGGAUCGCAGCCGAAUUAUCAGCAACAGUACUCGCCACAACCACAGUCACAGUACUCGCCGCAAGCCCAGUCUCAGUACUCGCCGCAAGCCCAGUCUCAGUACUCGCCGCAAGCCCAGUCACAACAGCAAUACUCGCCACAGCCCCAAUACUCGCCGCAGCAGUAUUCUGAGCCCGCGUAUCAGCCCCCACAGAAAGUGUACGAGCCCCCGCCGGCGACGAUCACUCUUCGCCAGCAGCCACCCAUUCACCAGCAACCGCAACCUGUGUAUACUAGUCAACCCGCCGCGGCAUCUUUCAAAGGAGGAGUAAACAUGCGGGGAGAUCAGAAAUGGCCACCGCAGUCGGUGAGGGAAGCCGUUGCGGCUGAGAACGAGGCUAGAAGGCUACUUGCCAAAGGCCCUGCCUGCAGACCGCGCAAGCUGCGUCAAUACUCGCUUGCUGAAUUAAUUGCCAUGAACGAGGUCUAACGUCGUUCGACCUCAGUACCUACCGUACAUAGCUGGACUUUAAUACCUCAGUUGUAAACAAGGAUUACACAUCCUUCUUCGCUCAACAUGCCCUCAACCACAACUACCCUGGCUACCGGGCGCCACCUGGCACGCAACAUUACGAAGACCUUUCCGGCCGAUCUUCUUACUAACAUAAAAACAAAUCAUUAG
rnacentral:misc_RNA from 1 species